CUUCGCCUAGCCACAGCAGCUCCCUCAUACAGACUCCGCAAGCCAAGAGGCCGUGGAGGCAAAUGCAGCCAGCACACCUCGAACAGCCACCUUGACUGCGGGUGUGUCACCCUAGUCGCCAAGGAAACAUUUGAGGGAAAGCGACAGGCAAUGUGAACAGCCACUUCUCCAUGCAAACGAUACUCUUUCUCUCGGAUGACUCCUACGCCUCGCCACGCCAGCACUCUUGUGCACAAAAAUGCCGCGGAGGCACGUGCAGGUCAGAGGCAAGAAGCAGUGGCACUGGUGUCAACAUUCACCCAAUUUCUUUUUCUUACACUGAGGCAGCCAGCACACCUCGAACAGCCACCUUAACUGCGGGUGUGUUAGUAGAUUCCUGUUGUACAUAUGCUCAUAAUAAACUUCAGUAAACUUGAACUUGAUAAUAAA
rnacentral:lncRNA from 1 species